rnacentral:rRNA from 1 species
CUUGAAAUACCACCCUUUAAUGUUUGAUGUUCUAACGUUGGCCCGUUAUCCGGGUUGCGGACAGUGUCUGGUGGGUAGUUUGACUGGGGCGGUCUCCUCCUAAAGAGUAACGGAGGAGCACGAAGGUUGGCUAAUCCUGGUCGGACAUCAGGAGGUUAGUGCAAUGGCAUAAGCCAGCUUGACUGCGAGCGUGACGGCGCGAGCAGGUGCGAAAGCAGGUCAUAGUGAUCCGGUGGUUCUGAAUGGAAGGGCCAUCGCUCAACGGAUAAAAGGUACUCCGGGGAUAACAGGCUGAUACCGCCCAAGAGUUCAUAUCGACGGCGGUGUUUGGCACCUCGAUGUCGGCUCAUCACAUCCUGGGGCUGAAGUAGGUCCCAAGGGUAUGGCUGUUCGCCAUUUAAAGUGGUACGCGAGCUGGGUUUAGAACGUCGUGAGACAGUUCGGUCCCUAUCUGCCGUGGGCGCUGGAGAACUGAGGGGGGCUGCUCCUAGUACGAGAGGACCGGAGUGGACGCAUCACUGGUGUUCGGGUUGUCAUGCCAAUGGCACUGCCCGGUAGCUAAAUGCGGAAGAGAUAAGUGCUGAAAGCAUCUAAGCACGAAACUUGCCCCGAGAUGAGUUCUCCCUGACUCCUUGAGAGUCCUGAAGGAACGUUGAAGACGACGACGUUGAUAGGCCGGGUGUGUAAGCGCAGCGAUGCGUUGAGCUAACCGGUACUAAUGAACCGUGAGG